AACAUCACUUUAGGUUAAGGUAAGGGAUACUUUAUUAAGAUUAACAUCACUUUAGGUUGAGGUAAGGGUUACUUUAUUAAGGUUAACAUCACUUUAGGUUAAGGUAAGGGUUACUUUAUUAAGAUUAAUAUCAUCACUUUAGGUUAAGGUAAGGGAUACUUUAUUAAGGUUAAUAUCAAUUUAGGUUAAGGUAAGGGAUACUUUAUUAAGGUUAACAUCACUUUAGGUUAAGGUAAGGGAUACUUUAUUAAGGUUAACAUCACUUUAGGUUAAGGUAAGGGAUACUUUAUUAUGGUUAACAUCACUUUAGGUUAAGGUAAGGGUAACUUUAUUAAGGUUAACAUCACUUUAGGUUAAGGUAAGGGUAACUUUAUUAAGGUUAACAUCACUUUAGGUUAAGGU